AUGUAAUAACCGAAAUGCCCCAAAAUAAGACAAAAUACAAGAAAAAACGGCGGGGGUGUCUUGGUAAUUACCC
rnacentral:sRNA from 1 species